rnacentral:rRNA from 1 species
UACCGCCUGCCCAGUGAACCCCCUUAAACGGCCGCGGUACUCUAACCGUGCAAAGGUAGCGUAAUCACUUGCCCCCUAAAUAGGGGCUAGUAUGAACGGCUAAAUGAGGGCCUAACUGUCUCCUGCGACAAGCCAAUGAAACUGCUCUCUCAGUACAAAAGCUGAGAUACACCCACAAGACGAGAAGACCCUGUGGAGCUUAUAAAUGCUACACUAACACCACCAAAAACCCCCCCCCCCAUAGUGCUAACUUUUAGUUGGGGCGACUACGGAGACAACCCAAACCUCCAUGAGACAAGGCCUCACUGCCUAAGGCACACAAGCCAAGGGUACUUAUAGCCUCUUGACCCAGCACCGCUGAACAACGGACCAAGUUACCCCAGGGAUAACAGCGCAAUCCUCCCCAAGAGUCCAUAUCGCCAGGAGGGUUUACGACCUCGAUGUUGGAUCAGGACACCCCGGCGGUGCAGCCGCUGCCAAAGGUUCGUUUGUUCAACGACUAACGUCCUACG